CCCACCUAAAGGAUUUCCAGGGUCUGCUGUACAAUAGCAAUACUGCUGAGUGUCUUAAUUGUCACAGUUCUGAUGUUUUUCUUGUUUCAGUGUCAGUUGGAUAUAAGGACACAUCUGUUUCCCUGCCCUGGAAAUGGACCCAAAGGAAUCAGAAACAAAGGACGCUGAUGCUGCUUUUCAUCCUUCUGCCUAAGGAGAAUAAAUGUUUGUGCAAACCUUUUGUCAUGUGGCUGCCCAGAAAUGACCCAAGUGAAGCCAAGAAGCUGAACAUUGGGCAACCUCCCCCUGGUGAUGCUGCUGAAAUGAGAGAAUGCAUCCUCUGACAUAGUUUACCUGUAAAUUUUCUUGCCUGAAGAUUUGCCACUCUACAUUGUUCCUGCAGGGACCACACAGAAGAAAAAGACCUAGGACCAUGCCUCCACAUCACACCAAAUGCCCCUUUCUGGCCACCAGGCAUAGGAACUCCGUGAGGUCUGAUCCUGUGCACACUGGGGGAAGAUGAGGAUCUCAAGCAAUGCCUUUUUAUUCCAGAGCAGCUGCUCCUGCUAAGCUGAGUGGGGCUGUGGGCAGCAGAGAGGUGAAUCCCAUUUCUGGGAUAGGUGAGCUGUUGAAACAUGCAGGAUUUUCUGCUGCCUUUGGCUUUUUGAGUUAAUGGGUGUGAAACUUUUCACUUCUGCUUUUCAUGUGCAUGCUUGGUGCGAUGCACUUCUGGUGUGGAGUUUUGCAAUCAGGAGAUUUCCCCAUCAAGUUUGGGUUUGUUUCUCUGAUUUUUACAAGGGAUGAACAGGCUAUCACUUCAGGGCAAAGCAGACAUGUAGCACAUCAGGGCAGGGAAAUCCAAGAAAAAUAGUAUCUGAAUACUAUUUGUGUUGCAAGCACAUGUAGGCGUUUAUUAUUUCUGAGAGCUCUCUCGUCAGUCAGACACUGAACAAUCGUGACAUCUGUUGUAAGUUACUGUCCCCCAGAGUCGUUUUACACAGUUUGGAGUUUGCUUUUUCAAAUCCACCACAAAUAAAGCCCAGCAUUAUCUCUCUGUCCCCACAAAGGCAAGUGGGAACCUCCUGGGGAAAUGCUGCAGACUGCGAGGAGGUGGAGAGGUUUAGCAGAGGAGGCUGUUUGGGUCCUCUCUGCCUUACUAUGGGUUGAGCAAUGAACCCCCCAGUCCACACUGUCAAAGGGACCCCCCUGAGGUCCACAGGAGAUGAGACAAUGGUAAUUUCAUAAAAACAAAAACAAAGACCAAGUGCAAGGGCUGACCUGCAGCUCCAAACUUUGUGAGCCAUCAUCCUGUGCUGCGUUGGGGAUCCCUGUGUUGGUGUUCACAGGUUUGCACUUUGUUGGUGCCUCCCACACUGCUGCUGGGAGCUGGGAAGGCCAGAGCCAAGUCAUCUUUCCCUUUCAGCCCAUCUGCCUGCACUGGGGAAGAAAUACUGUCUGUUUGUUUAGGUGAGAUAUUAGUCUGCCCCCGGAGCUCCAGGUCACUGUAAAUGUAACACAAGCCCUAUUUCCUGUUAGGAAAGGGGAAAAAAUAUGCCUGUGAAUUGUCUCUGAUGUGCUGCCAAUUGUCAGGGAAGAUUCAAUUUGGUGGAGAAUUACUGUGCUCUUAAAGAGCUGCACCAGUGAUGGAGAUUUAGGGCAGCUGCUUCUUCCAGAAAUGGGAGAUUUGUCUGAUUUCCACAAAACCAGGGUUGUGACUGGCAGCCAGCUGCCCACUCCACAGGCCUGAAUGGCUUGGAGGGGAGGCUGGAGCAGGGGCUCAGGUUAAGGGGACCAUAUUGGGACAAGAAGGGGACACCUGUGCAUGGCUGAAGGAGAGCUGGGCAGAGGUUUGGGGUGAGGCUGGCAGGGGCUGGGGUAAAGCUUUCUGUCAGUGUUUCACUAUGGUAAAGGAAAAAUGGUAUUUUCUUGCCACCUAGCCAAAAAUUCAGACCAAAAGAGACAAGAAUUUGCUCUGUGUGUAAUGCACACAUGUGUUCACUUGUAAUCCAAUAAAGCAAAUAUGUGACCUGUGGAAUGACCCAAAGCUGCCACAAUAAAUAAUGUUAUAGAUCACUCAUGCAUUUUGCUUUCUUUUGCAUUUGCUGUAUCAAGGCCAAUUUCAGCUGUUGUCUAAGCAGCCAUGUAUAGACAGGUACAGUAGAAAUCCCCCUUGCCCUUCCAAAACUGGCAAAAAAUGAGCUUCCCUCUCUUUUCAUUAUACUUAUUGCAAAGAGUAGCAUUUCAAUUUAGGCCUGGAUAAAGGUGCAGUGCACUUAGGUAAAGCUGAUGUGUUUACAUCAUGUUUUUUGGACUCCUCUGUAGGCC